rnacentral:rRNA from 1 species
UGGGAACCUGCCUUGGAGUGGGGGAUAACCACUGGAAACGGUGGCUAAUACCGCAUGUGCCCCGAGGGGCAAAGGCUUCGUGUCGCUCCGAGAGGGGCCCGCGUCCGAUUAGCUUGUUGGUGGGGUAACGGCCUACCAAGGCAGCGAUCGGUAGCUGGUCUGAGAGGAUGAUCAGCCACACUGGGACUGCGACACGGCCCAGACUCCUACGGGAGGCAG